rnacentral:rRNA from 1 species
CCUACGGGUGGCAGCAGUGAGGAAUAUUGGUCAAUGGGCGCAAGCCUGAACCAGCCAUCCCGCGUGAAGGAAGAAUGCGCUACGCGUUGUAAACUUCUUUUCCAGGGGUAGAAUAAUCCUGUCGUGACAGGACUUGACGGUACUCUGGGAAUAAGCAUCGGCUAACUCCGUGCCAGCAGCCGCGGUAAUACGGAGGAUGCGAGCGUUAUCCGGAUUUAUUGGGUUUAAAGGGUGCGUAGGCGGAUUGAUAAGUCAGUGGUGAAAUUCUACAGCUUAACUGUAGACUUGCCGUUGAUACUGUUAGUCUUGAGUGUGGUCAAGGCAGGCGGAAUGUGUAAUGUAGCGGUGAAAUGCUUAGAUAUUACACAGAACACCGAUUGCGAAGGCAGCUUGCUGGGUCAUUACUGACGCUGAUGCACGAAAGCGUGGGGAUCAAACAG